GAUGAACGCUGGCGGCGUGCCUAAUACAUGCAAGUCGAGCGAACAGACGAGGAGCUUGCUCCUCUGACGUUAGCGGCGGAAGGGUGAGUAACACGUGGAUAACCUACCUAUAAGACUGGGAUAACUUCGGGAAACCGGAGCUAAUACCGGAUAAUAUAUUGAACCGCAUGGUUCAAUAGUGAAAGACGGUUUUGCUGUCACUUAUAGAUGGAUCCGCGCCGCAUUAGCUAGUUGGUAAGGUAACGGCUUACCAAGGCAACGAUGCGUAGCCGACCUGAGAGGGUGAUCGGCCACACUGGAACUGAGACACGGUCCAGACUCCUACGGGAGGCAGCAGUAGGGAAUCUUCCGCAAUGGGCGAAAGCUUGACGGAGCAACGCCGCGUGAGUGAUGAAGGUCUUCGGAUCGUAAAACUCUGUUAUUAGGGAAGAACAAAUGUGUAAGUAACUACGCACGUCUUGACGGUACCUAAUCAGAAAGCCACGGCUAACUACGUG
rnacentral:rRNA from 1 species